CAAAACACAAAACUAUACAAUAUACAAUUACAGGCUGUAUAUAAAUUUAAAAUUACUGUCCGAUAUAUUAUUAGGGUUCCUACCUCAAUUGGUUUUGUCGCCAUCAACACCAGUAGAUCGCCGUGCUUGAUAUUUCAGGCAUGGUGUCGAGUUCGGAAAUCAAGAGAGAUGGUUCGGAGGCGGAAAUUCAGUUAAGUGAGUAUGGAGAAGUUACUGUUUCUAGAAAGAGACGGAAAGUGUCAGAAUUGGCACACCGGGAUUUGUCUUCAAAUGUGUGUGAAGAACAGUGUCGUGUUAAUGCUUCGUCUUCGGUGGAUAUAAAUAAUGAUUUUGUAGGUAAUAAAAGUAAUUCUUUGUCGUGUUGUAAUUGUGACGACGGUAAGUUGAGUUCAAGAGUUGACCCGAGCUGCCAGUUAAAUGGCGGCAAUGAAAGCAUAUCUUGUAGCAGCGUAGGAGGCACUUCUUAUCCGAUUAAUGACUCUAAGUUGAAUGCGGGAGUUGACAUGAGCGGCCAGUUAAAUGACAGCAAUGAAAGCAUAUCUCGCACUAGUACAGGAGGAAGUACAGAAGGCGCUCCUUAUUCGGUCAAGACUGAAGCUGCUUAUGCAUCUCCUGCAUAUGUGAGUUCCUGGAUGUAUGUCAAUGCACAAGGUCAAAUGUGUGGUCCUUACAUCCACGAGCAGUUGUAUGAGGGUUUGUCAUCUGGGUUUUUGCCUGACGAUCUUCCUGUGUACCCAAUAUUGAAUGGGAGUUUAAUUAAUCCAGUUCCACUGAAUUACUUUAAACAAUUCCCAGAUCAUGUUGCCACGGGUUUUGCAUAUUUACCAGGGUCUAUCUCUGGGGUCAAGGCGCCUAAAAAUUCUCAAACUUUCCCUAGUAGUGAUUUUUCAUCAGACAAACAGGAACUUGCUACAACCAGUGGAUCUAAUAAUUCGCAGACUGCAUAUUCAGCAUGUGUUAAUUUUAGCAAUGUUAACUCCAAUCCACAAGGCCCAAAUACUGAUGCAACCGAUUUGUCUAAGCCAUAUAUGCCAGUGUCAGGUGAAGAAUCUUGUUGGCUUUUCGAAGAUGAUGAAGGGAAGAAACAUGGCCCACACUCUCUUGUAGAACUUUACUCAUGGCAUCAAUAUGGUUAUCUUCGUGAUUCGUUGAUGAUUAGUCAUGCUGACAAUAGGUUCAAGCCCUUCAUUCUAAAAUCUGUGGUGGACACCUGGAGAACAACUGGAGAGAAAACUCUUUCUAUAUCCAAUGACAAGGACCACACUACUGGUCCUAUACCUAUCAUAUCUGAAGAUCUUUGCUCUCAACUGCACUCUGGGAUCAUGAAAACGGCACGUAGAGUUGUUUUAGAUGAAAUUAUUAGUCAUGUAAUUGCAGAGUGUAUUGCCUCAAAGAAAGCAAACAAGUACCAGAAGUUUGAAGUGAUCAAUCAGAAUGCGAAAACAUUGUCUGCAAGUACAAACAUGAAUGAAUCUUGUUCUGCAAACGUCGUGAUUACUAGUUCACAUGAAAAGGCAUUAUCUGAAUGUGUUUCUGAGCUCACUCUCCCAGCAAACAGAAGUCCAAUUAGGACCUUAUCCAGCAUGAAAUCUGUUGGAAGUGCAGAGAAUUUUUUGGAUGCUUGUGCUACUAUCUAUCAGGUUCUGUUUGAUUCGUCUAUGCAAGUUGUGUGGAAUGCUGUCGUUCGUGAUCCAGUAGUGGAGUUCUCUUCAGCCUGGAGGAGGACGGUAUUGUGGAAUGCCCAUAGUGCUGUUGUUGGGCAGGAAAUUUCAGUAAAGCAAUAUGAGGGAGAAGUAGAGGAAGUGCAUCUUGCAGCUUCGGAAGGAGAAUUAUCUGAUGGGGAAGUUGAUUGCCCACCUGGAUUUGAGCUUCCGAGGGUGGCAUCUGAUGUACACAUUUUGUCACCUUCUGUGUCUUCAUGCUUUUCCAAUGGAGAAGAGUCUUACCGUAAGAACCUUCCAAGCAAAGAUCAAAUAUAUAGGGAUGUGGAACACAUUGUGGUAGGUGUAGAACAUGAUCUUCAUUCCUCUGCAGUCAUGUCUCUGACUCAGUAUUUUGAAUCUAUUGUGGAUGAAGAAGUGAAGAAAAUAAUUGGUUCCUCCAGAGAUGACCUAUCAAAUGAGGUGGAAGUUGAUCCACCUAUUCAACAAUCGCAUAUAGUAAGUCUGAAUGGUUCUUCAGAGGCGCUUCUUGACUUGGAAAAACUCUCAGACGAUAACUUUCACGUUUCGUCAGAAUUAGAAAAGCAGGAUCAUCAGAAAAAAGUUUCUGUCCUUGGGAGUUCUUUUUCUGAUGUUUUUACCAAUGCACUUGUUAAAAUGUGUGCUACUUUACGUAGUACAGAUGUGGUUAAUGAUAUUGAUUUGCUAGAUGCACCUGGAUCUGAGACUAAAUCUGAAACCCUUGCUCCAUUACAUAUUGGCAGAAUUCACUCCUCCAGGUCACAUGAGCGUUUUCCAAAGAUCACACUAUAUGCUGCCUUGGCUAUGUUCCGCCAAAAGUUGCAUGACGAAGUACUCAGGGAAUGCAGUUCCUCACUUAUUGGUCGUGCUUUUAACAAGUUUUGGUUUUCAUAUCGCUCGUCAAAGAAAAACUCUAAACUGAAGACUGCGAGGAGAGCCAAAAAGAUUAAUGAUGUGAGACCUGGUAAAGUUUCUGCUGUAGUUGAUAAGUGUAGCGAAAAGGUAAGGAGUAAGCGUGGCAAAGAAGCUCUAGACAUUUCUUUAAUGACUGGAAGAUAUACAUAUUCCCGUAAGAAAGGGUUGAGGAAGAAAUCGGGUUCAUUUUCUGAGUGGUCAAAUUUUGCUAACGUUGGAUCUCAUAUUCAAUCUGUUGGGCUUUCAAAUGAACCAGAUAUAUUUGUAGAGGCAACUCAGAAUACAGAAGUUAGUGCUUCACGCCUGUCUAAAAGUACAGAUAUAGAUUGCUCAACUAAGAUAUGUGCUGAUGCUAAUGAGCAUACUGUGCGGAACGAACACUUGCCAUCUGUUCACACCACCACCCAUAAAGCACUGAAAAUCACACCUGGUAUUCAAGUUAAUGAGAAAAGUUUAAGAGAGAGCAAAAUUCCCCCCCCUGUUAGGCCGAAUGAGUCAAUUAAGGUUAAGAAGGAUGUUAACAAAAAAAGCACUCAGGAGCGUGGCAGUGAUUCUUCAAAAAAGUUUUCAAUAAACCAAAAUAAGGCAUUAAAUAUGAAAAGGAAGCAUACAGUGGAUAACAACUACCCCUCUGGGAAACUGUUAAAAGUAGCGAAAGGUUCUACUGGGCAAGCGUCACUCAAACAGGUAGUGGUCACAAAGAGCAAAGACAGUAAAUGCAGAACAUCAGCAACCCACCCCAAGUCAUAUGGAUGUGCCCGAACUUCAAUCAACGGUUGGGAAUGGCAUAAAUGGUCAAUUACUGCAACUCCUUCUGAAAAAGCUCGUGUAAGGGGAAGUACUUUCGUACAUCCUCAAAAUAGGGGAUCUGAAAUAAAUGUCUCUCAGUUUUCAAAUGCCAAGGGCCUAUCUGCACGAACAAACAGGGUGAAAGUGCGCAAUCUUCUUGCUGCAGCUGAUGGUUCUGAUCUUCUAAAAGCUACUCAGCUAAAGGCACGUAAGAAACGUUUACGUUUCCAACAGAGCAAGAUACAUGAUUGGGGUCUGGUUGCACUAGAGCCAAUUGAUGCAGAAGACUUUGUUAUUGAAUAUGUUGGAGAAUUAGUUCGAUCUAGCAUAUCUGAUAUACGUGAACGCCAAUAUGAGAAGAUGGGAAUUGGGAGCAGUUAUCUCUUUAGACUGGAUGAUGGUUAUGUGGUAGAUGCUACAAAGCGUGGUGGAAUUGCUAGAUUUAUAAAUCAUUCCUGUGAGCCUAAUUGCUAUACCAAAGUCAUUAGCGUUGAAGGCCAGAAAAAGAUUUUCAUUUAUGCAAAAAGACAUAUAAAUGCUGGUGAAGAACUUACAUAUGAUUACAAAUUUCCUGUGGAAGAAGUAAAAAUACCUUGCAAUUGCGGUUCUAAUAGGUGUCGUCGAUCACUUAAUUAAGAAGCUUUCGGAGUUACUAUUAUGGUUGCAUCAGAUGCCUUCUUUGAAGGGGACAUGAUUAUGCUGUGCCAAUUAUUGCAUCAAGAUUUUUAAUCAAUGACCAAUCCAUGUGCAUAAUCUUGUAGAUAUUUUGAGUUGCAGAUGAGUCUCUCCUCUUAAAACUGUAAAUUGGUUAAUUUUUUCUUUUCCUUGAAGCAUCUUUUGUACUAAUGUACAGACAUGCUCUACAUAAGUUAAUUCUUCAUAGUGCACUAUGAUAUACCCCGUUUCUAAAAUAAAAGAAUUUGGUUUUUCCAAACUAUGAUAUGAUUAUACUCGUCCUGGUGAUUAAUAAUUAUCAUAAAUUUGGAAUGAUGUAGUACUUGUUUGAUGCGAUAAACAACUUAUUCUCAUUUUAGUAUGUGAUCACAAUCAAUAUUGCAUCAGUUAUGUUUUUUUCUCUAAAUGGACUGAAAAAUCGUGUAACUUCUGCUUGAUCAUAAUUUGUAAUUGGCUUCAAGGUUGGCCUCUCUUCACAUUCACCCAGCUAAAAAUUUCAGAUAUCAAGCUUUAGAUGUUCAAGUGGAUUUUCGAAAAACUCUUUCACUUGGUGUUGUAUGAUGUAUAUCAAUGGUGUGUCAUGAUUGAGGUCAUUUGAAUCUUUCAGAUGACUGGACAAUAUGGGUGACUGAAAAGUAUAUAUGAGGCUUGAACAAUUAUGGAAGCAAUAUCUAUGUCCAUAGUGUUUCUUCUGGGUUAAGAAGAAAGAUAUGAUGAAUGUUCUAUCCUAACAGAUUCUUACUAUUACCAAACAGGACAUUUAUAUAACUAACAGUUGUGAAUAAACAUCUGUUAAUAAAAAAAUUUAAGAUCUUAACCGUGUUAUAAAUUUCGGAGGAAAUUUUGCAUGUAAUGUAUCACAAAAACGAAAUUGUCAGCAGCAGGUCUUCAUUAAGCUAAUUUAAGAUAAGAAGUCAAAUAUUUCGUUUUUGUUACCCUUAUAUUUUCUUUUUCCUGCUUUUGUUGCAGGAGUAGGGGAAAGUUUUACCAGGUGGAAUUGUUCUGGAAACCUAUGGAUAGUUUUAACAUUACGAGGUGAACGAUUCCAGCAGACGACAAAAGAAACUCUACUAAACGUUUUUUUUGCAAUGAACCACAAAUCACAAGGCAAGAGCUAUGCCAUUAUUGAAGGCCGACACAUAAGAAAGUUAAUCUAAUUUUACAAUGGCAACGCGUGUGACUGGGUAGCUAGAGGGGGAAAGUACAGAAAGCAGCAAUGGAGCAUUCUACAUUGCAUUCUUUGGACAAUUUUAAUGAGCUUAAUCUGCAAAUAAAAAUUAUGAAAUAUACCUGAUCUGCUAUACAAAUUUAAAUGUCAAUUCAAUGUAGUUCCAAUUAAGUCAAUAGCAGUUUUUUAGUAACUAA